ACGCUCGACACCUACGGGGGCAGCAGUGGGGAAUAUUGCACAAUGGGGGAAACCCUGAUGCAGCGACGCCGCGUGAGUGAAGAAGUAUUUCGGUAUGUAAAGCUCUAUCAGCAGGGAAGAAAAUGACGGUACCUGAGUAAGAAGCCCCGGCUAACUACGUGCUAGCAGCCGCGGUAAUCUGAGCGGGCUGGCAAGGC
rnacentral:rRNA from 1 species